rnacentral:rRNA from 1 species
ACUCAAAGGAAUAGACGGGGACCCGCACAAGCGGUGGAGCAUGUGGUUUAAUUCGACGGUACCCGAAGAACCUUACCAAGGCUUGUUCUAGUGCAAAGUUGGGCGAAAUCUCGACGGAGGCUACCACUAGGGCAACGGUGAUGCAUGGCCGUCGUCAGUUCGUGCCGUGAGGUGUAUGGUUAAGUCCUAUAACGAAUGCAACCCUCGUGUUUAGUUACCAUCAUUAAGUUGGGGACUCUAAACAGACUGCCAGAGUAAUCUGGAGGAAGGAGAGGAUGACGUCUGGUCUUUAUGUCCUUUAUGCCUUGGGCUACACACGUGCUACAAUGAUGAGGACAAAGGGUUGCCAACCCGCGAGGGGGAGCUAAUCUCAAAAAACUCAUCUCAGUUUGGAUUGAAGUCUGCAACUCGACUUCAUGAAACCGGAAUCGCUAGUAAUCGCGGAUCAGCUAUGUCGCGGUGAAUACGUUCUCGGGUCUUGUACACACCGCCCGU